rnacentral:lncRNA from 1 species
AAGCUUCAACGACAAAGCUUCACCUACAAAGCUUCAACUACAAAACUUCACCUACAAAGCUUCAACGCAAAAGCUUCACCCACAAUAGCUUCACUUGCAAAAGCUUCAACACAAAAGCUUCACCCACAAUAGCUUCACCUAUAAAAGCUUUACCCAGAAAAGCUUCACCCAGAAAAGCUUCACCAACAAAAGCUUUACCUACAAAAGCUUCACCCAUAAAAGCUUCACCAACAAAAGCUUCAUCCACAAAAGCUUCACCCACCACAAAAGCUUCACCCACCACAAAAGCUUCACCCACCACAAAAGCUUCACACUAUCUUGAUCAAGAUAGUGUGAAGCAAAAUCAAUUCAU